UACGUAGGGCGCGAGCGUUGUCCGGAAUUAUUGGGCGUAAAGAGCUUGUAGGUGGCUUGUCGCGUCUGCCGUGAAAAUCCAGGGCCUAACCCUGGACGUGCGGUGGGUACGGGCAGGCUAGAGUGUGGUAGGGGAGACUGGAACUCCUGGUGUAGCGGUGAAAUGCGCAGAUAUCAGGAAGAACACCGAUGGCGAAGGCAGGUCUCUGGGCCAUUACUGACACUGAGAAGCGAAAGCAUGGGGAGCGAACAGG
rnacentral:rRNA from 1 species